rnacentral:tmRNA from 1 species
GGGGGCGCUCCGGUUUCGACGGAGGUAUGGACUCAAGGAAUGCAUGCCGAGCACCAUUAACUCGUUAAUCUGAUGGAACAUCCGUUAACUGCGGACAAUCAGUACGCUCUCGCUGCUUAAUUAAACUAAGCAACGACGUUCGCCCCGGCCUCGCCUGGUGGUUGGGGGCCGAACGCCAUUAAACAGGCUGGUUUCUGAACGGCGGCUCGGCGUUCAGGGGCGAGACACACCGAGUCUGGUAUCCGGCGGUUUUGGCCGCUUCCUCACGCUGGAUACGAGAACCCGGAAGCGGCUACGCAUGUAGAUUUCUUUGACGACGUGCUUUCGGACGCGGGUUCGACUCCCGCCGCCUCCACCA